rnacentral:tRNA from 1 species
GGGCCGUUAGCUCAGAUGGUAGAGCACCUGACUUUUAAUUAGGUGGUCGUUGGUUCAAUCCCAACACGGCUCACCA